rnacentral:lncRNA from 1 species
CAGGCAUAUGCCACUGUGCCCAACUGUACAACUUUUUAAAGUAGAAGUCUUACCUUUUUGUUUUUCAGGAUUUGUUAUAUUUAGAAGAAACUUGUGAAGUCUCAACAGUUGGCUAAAAAGGUAAAUGAUGCAAAACCACUGACUCAUGGACUCCAAGUUGUUAUUAGGUGUCUCGAUCACAUCUACUGCUAUUUGCCCUUUGAGCAAGUCAUUACUCUCUCCAAGACUCAACUGUUUCCAGCCAAGAGAAUUUCAUUCUACUUCCUAUGACUGUUAACCGCCCUCCUCCCCCCCCCACACGCACGUGAAACCAGAUCAGAUGUGGGAAGACUAUAAACAGAAGAGUGAUGCAGGACUGUCAGGCCAUAGAAGUGGAGUCAUCUGUAAACUAGAACAAAAAUCAAUUAUAUUUAAUUUUCCUUAUAAUACCUGAGCUGCCAGCUUCUACUAAGAUGUGUCUCCUCUAAUAAAGGCUUUUGGCAAGCUACCUUGGCUCCAAUUCAAAUGCUUUAUCCAGGACAAGUUUAAGAUGGUCUCGCUGUGGAGCCUCCACUCAUAAGCUAGGUUUGCCUCUUCUAUUGUGGCCAAUUCGGUUUUUCUUCUCAGUUUCCUGCUUCAGAGGGCAGAGACAUCUAUAAAAUGCAUGGAGUUGAUCUUUCCCCUUUCAUGCUGAAUAAUCAAUACAAGUAGUUUCUGGCCAUUCAAAAAUUAUCUAGGGGGCUGGAUAAAUCUUCAUUACCCAAAGUGUCCUCUAAACUCUUUACAGUCAAUUCCACUUGGAGAUCCUACCAACUAAUUUGCUUUUGACUUUUCUAGAAUUUCAUAUAAAUGGAAUUACCUGUACAUAGUUUUCUGCAUCUGGCUUCUUUCACUUAACAUAAUGCUUUGAGAUUCAUUUGUGUUGUUUGAGCACCAGCAGUUCCUGUGUAUUGCUGAGAUGUACUCCACAGAAUGAAUAUACUGCAAUUUAUAACUACUAUAACACUACACAUCUGCACAAAAAUUGUUGUGUGGAUGGCCUUACAGGUAAACCUAGAAGUAAUGGCUGGGUAGUAGGUGUUUCACAUUUUAAGAAACUGCCAACUAUUUUCUUACAUGGUUUAUCAUUUUAUACUCUCAACAGCAGUGCAUGAUAAUUCCACUUGUCUAACACCUGAUCAGUCUUUUAAAAUCUAGACAUUUUGAUGGUAUGCAGUAUUUUAUUAAUGUGGUUUUCAUUUGCAUUUUUCCAAUGACUAAUGCGGUUGUGUGUCUUUGCACAGAUUCAUAUUUCUUUUAGGAAAUGUUUUUUUUCUAUUCUUUUAUUCAUUUUUUGAAAACAGGAUUGCUUGAUAAAUAAGUUGUAAAAAUUCUUUAUGUAUGCUGGAUACAAGCCCUCUGACUUGUAUCUCACUUAAUUUUUACAAUGUAAAUAAAGGUCUACUCACAAAAGAACUGGGAAGUUAAGGUGGAAGUCUUACAUGCAAAAUUUUACUAUGUUAAACAAUGCUCCCUACUGAGGCAAAGCAUAUUCCCUGUAAUAUGGUGAGGGUUUUUCUUAGUAGGCUGAGCAGAAGCUCCAUAAACAUAAUUCUUGUUCCAUUAUCUUUUCAGUUAUUUUACUGCUACCCAAACUUUUACAUUUUAUUAUCAUGUCUCUUUUCUUCUUCUUUUUUUUUUUUACGGUGCUGGUUAUUGAACCCAGGGCCUCACACAUGCUAGUCAAACACUAACUACCACUGGGCUACACCCCCAAGCUUCUAUCAUCUCAAUAGUCACUGGGAAAUUCUACCAAACAUUAGAUCCAGAUUCUGUUUUCAAGAGAUAGCACUUAGUACUUGAGCUGGAUUCUAGAUUAAAGCAGGAAAGGAAAAUAAGAUGUAAGACAAGGAGAACUGGCAGGGGUUUAGCUUCAGAGGACAGCAAUUAUACUUCCCUAUAAAAUAAGCAGAAACUAGUAGCUCAAUUAAGUAUUUAAAACCAUAAUUUGAUAACUGACUUAUUACAUAAGGAUUAAUGCAAAAAUUAGUUUUUCAUUGUCCUAAUGUUCACACUGCACUGGAUCAACACUUGCCCAUUUUAACUCUUGUAAGCAGAACAGAUCUAUGGUGCAUGUACUCAGGAUUAUCACAGAGUAGAAAAACACCUUCAUGUUCUCGUGUUUUAAAUAUUUGUGUUUCAGGUUUUUCUUUCACUUUAAAAAGGCUUCAAAAAUGAUAAUUGCUCGACUGUAGUUAUCUUAGAAGUUUUCUAAAAAUAUUGUUAUUUUGUUGUUCCCAAUGGAAAACACAUGCCAAAUGAAGAAAAUAAAAGCUGAAACUCUUACUAUCUCACAUUUGUGAGAUGUGUGUUCUAAUUAUCCUGUUUCACCCAUAAGGGGUAAAAAAAAGUGGGAUCCUAUUAUGCAGGAGCUACGGGUGACAAGGAGAAACCUGCUGUCUGAGGAGCACUUCUGCUUCCAGACGGA